GUGCCAGCCGCCGCGGUAAUACGGGGGGUGCAAGCGUUGUUCGGAAUUAUUGGGCGUAAAGCGCGUGUAGGCGGUUUGUUAAGUCUGUUGUGAAAGCCCUGGGCUCAACCCAGGAAGUGCACUGGAUACUGGCAGACUUGAAUACGGGAGAGGGUAGUGGAAUUCCUGGUGUAGGAGUGAAAUCCGUAGAUAUCAGGAGGAACACCGGUGGCGAAGGCGGCUACCUGGACCGAUAUUGACGCUGAGACGCGAAAGCGUGGGUAGCAAACAGGAUUAGAUACCCUUGUAGUCC
rnacentral:rRNA from 1 species